GUAGGGAAUAUUGGGCAAUGGGUGCAAGCCUGACCCAGCCAUCCCGCGUGCCGGAUGAAGGCCCUCUGGGUCGUAAACGGCUUUUGACGGUGAAGAACCGAAAGGGUGCGCCCUUUUUUGACGGUAGCCGUUGAAUAAGCACCGGCUAUCUCCGUGCCAGCAGCCGCGGUAAUACGGAGGGUGCGAGCGUUGUCCGGAUUUAUUGGGUUUAAAGGGUGCGUAGGCUGGAGGGACAGUCAGCGGUGAAAAGCAGUUGCUCAACAAUUGUCUUGCCGCAGAUACUACCUUUCUUGGAUGGGGAGGAGGUUACCGGAACGGAUGGUGUAGCGGUGAAAUGCAUAGAUAUCAUCCAGAACGCCAAUUGCGAAGGCAGGUAACUGUACCUAUAUCGACGCUGAUGCACGAAAGCAUGGGUAGCGAACAGGAUUAGAUACCCUUGUAGUCC
rnacentral:rRNA from 1 species